AAUCCAUAAAAAUGAAAUUGCCUUUGGUAUAAAGUGUGUAAUGCCUAAAGAAGGACUUUCCGGCUUAAACCGAAUUAAUCUGACUCCAAGCGAAUAUUUGACACGAAGUGAACUUUUUUCUUCUUAAAAAAAGCUAAGUCUUAAAGUCAAUGGUUUUAAAAUGACUUUCAAUAAUAUGAUUAAAGAGUUUUACGUUAUCGAUCAAUUUUGCUAAAUAAUAUAUAUUUGAAUCGUUAAGGUAAACACAGGUUCUUUAAGACUUGAACCAAACCAAAAAAAACCAAAUUUGAACCGUCAAGGAACCAAAAAAAAAAAAAAAGAGUUAUGAAUUAUUUAUUAGUGGUGGGCUCAAGUCUCCCAUUUGACAAGUGACAAGUACUCAAUUAGACAAGCGAAAAUCAUCUAUAUAUUAUUAAAAAGAGGAUAGUUUUAGGAUCAAAAGUAGUUAAUUAGUUAGUUAUUAGUUAAUGUUUUGAAUUUAAAAAUAAUUACAUAUCAAUAUUUAAUUUCUUGUGAGGCUUCUUUUGUACGUGCAUUGUUUUUUUUUUUUUUUUUAAAUGUGGUAACUAACAAAUUCCCUAAACUUCCAUUAGCAUAUGAAUAGGAAAAGCUAACCCCAGUGGCCCACGUAUUCCCAAAACCUAAAACUCCCUAUCACGAUAUCACCCACGUUCUUAUUUUGUUUUUCCUCACAAAUAAAAAAAAUGAAACCGUCUUAACAAAAACUGCUUCGAAUUUUCAAUGCAAAAUCAUUAUCAAAAACUCUACUACCAUAAUUCCAACACUUUCAUUUCUUUUGUUUUAUCUUUUUAUAGUGAAGGAUGAUGUGGGGAAAAGAACUUUCAUCUUCAUUGAUCACUCAUGUUUUCCCAGUUUCUUGGCUGUCAAAAUUCAAGCAAAAGAAGGAUGUCAACAGUGAGCAUCUAGAAGCAGCAAAGAUGAAGCGGAAGGCUUGGUGUGAGAUGAAAUUUUAUGUAAUUUAAACCAUCAAGUACAUAUUUUCUGUUUCAUUUAUAAAAAAAUAAAAAAAUAAAAUUGUUAAGGAGUUCAAUAUUUAACCUCUAAGUAAUUUUGUUGUAGACGAUCAGGCUCUGAAACAUGCUCUUUAAUUUUUCAAUUACUUUUAUGUGAAGAUUAAAUUGGCAAUAUUAUAUUCGUGAAAUCAUUUCAUAAAUUCUUUCUUAGUAGAUCUUCCAUCUCAGUGCAAGUCACAAUACCAGAAUUUGGGCAUGAGGGUUGGUUAAGACUUACGACUUAAGCGGUGAGGAGAAGUUACUUAUUAGAAGUAAAUUAACUGCCGAAUUUCUUAGUAGUAUUUUAAAAUUAUUUUUGUAUGAUUUUCUUGAUAUAUAUCCGGUUAUAAUUGUGUGGUUGCAAUUAUCUUUUCAAUCAAUUUGAAUUAAAACUUCCACAGGUAACCGCACUACCACUUUAUGUUUAGUUGAAAAGUGUCUAAUAGAUGUUGACUAAAUGCCCCAAAGAAAUGUCGCUUAAUUCUGGCUUUGCAGAAAACAAUGAAGGAUGCUGAUAGCUGAUUAUAUGGCUUAAAACUCACGGGAUGACCGUUAUCGAGCCCUCAUACAAGAGUAAUUGUUGACGAUGUGAUAUACAUUGAAACAAAUAGUGGAGCAGUUAAAAGAGAGUGGGUAGGAGUGGUGCUUUUUGCUACAGAUUUUGAUCUCGAGGCAGAAGAGUAUGUUCCACUUCCUAGAGGAGAGGUUCAAAAAAGAAAAAAAUCCAGUUACUCUCAUUCGUAUGAAAACAAUUAAGCCAUUUUGUUCUAUCCACUUGGUUAUGAAAUGCACUUCAGGAAGCCAAAACCAUUAUUACCUUCACCUAGAAGCUUGAUCAUAUUGACAACACCAGCAGGAAUUAAUGACAAUAAAAUAGUAAUUGCACCUCCUGCUUCUUCAUUGAUGACAAUAGAAUAGCAACUUGAUCUUCUGCUUCUUCAUUCAAUUAAUCUAUUAAGGUAUCAUCUAUUUCUUGGUUUCUUAUACAAUUUUCGGUCAUUGUAUAUAUCUGUUUUGGGUAGAUUUAUGAAAAUAAAGACAAAAUUGAAGCAAUUAAAGGAUUUAAGAAACUUAUUUCUGACUAUUGUUAGUGAUGGUGUGAGAAUUAAAACUCAAAACUUGGAACAAAAUAUGUCAUGAAUGUAAAGGGAAUAUAAGUUUCUUCUUCUUUUAUGGGACGUUUUUGGUGUGAAAAAAGAUUUCCUUUAUCGUGAAUGUGAUUGAUUAUUGUUUAAACAAAAAAAAAAUCAAUUGAUCCCUAGCUACGACUUCUCAAAAUAUUUGAUGGAAGUUGCAUGUCUUCGCCCGCUCUCCCAUACAUGGUGGAAUCCAUUGUAUUCGUUAGUAAAGCACAUGAUUACGGCCUCAACAUGUCGUCAUUUGUUGUUGGUUUUGUUCGAGUACAUUCUCAAGGUAAAGAAAAAGGAGGGAGGGGUACUUUUCCUUUACAUUUAAUGUGAUUUUGAAAUUACUAGCAUGGAACUAUGACAAUUAUAGCGUAAAAUGGUAAUAUGCAAACGAGUAGCUCGAGGCCGAACCUAUGUAUAUGUAUAGAACAAUUUAGAAAGUUGAAAAUCCUAGACCAUGUUUCAUGUCUAUCAUGGAAAACUGAGUAGCAAACCUACUAUAUCAUUUUAGUAACUAAUGUGUUGGUAGAAGAGUUCUAAUUUGUUUAGUAAUGCGUUAUUACUCAUUAAGAAAAUCUAAAGCUUUGAUCUACUCUGUAAAUAAGAAGAAGGAAAAGAGGAUGAUGAUUCAUUUACAUUACGAGUUGUAUUACAUUCAAUUGAAAGAUUAACAAGCUUAGAAGUUCGUGAUCUGUUGAAAUAUUUAGGGACCAUGCAUGAGCCAUUUUAAAGCUUAUGAUGUUUUUAAAGGAAGCUAUUGCAAAACAGAGGUGGGUAAACUUUAGGAUAAAGAACUAUGGAUGUUGUCAACUGUUUAUGUUCAUACGGAGGGUCAAGAACUGGACAAAUUUUAAAAAUAUUUGAAUGGCGGCAAUAAAAGGGAAAAUCAAAGCCCUUUGAAUUUAGACCGAAAGGGGAAAACGUAGGACAGCUAAAUUGCUCCAAUAUGUGAAUGUUCCAAGAGGGAUUCCACCAUUGGAGUUACUUUUUACUCAGAGUUUCAACUUUCGGGGAAGAAGGCAUUUCUCAAUAACAAGAUUUUCGGGUUCUUAGGCAUCAAGAGGUACGUUGAAUCUCAAAACUUUUGGUUUCUUUAUAUAAUUUGAUAUGGAUAAACUAGAUUAUGGAUGGAUACAGUACAUUCGGUUAGAUUCGAAUUUAUGAAAAUCUAGGAUUCAUUAAAAUUCUUCAUAUACAAAUGAAGAAUAGGAAAUCUAUCUAUUACUAAAAGGAGAGGAAAAAGAAUUAACCGUGCAUAUAGUGGCAGAAGCCCACUAAAAAUCUGAUAAUCUGUAUUAUAUAUUGAUUGGGAAAUUUUCUACAAUAUUAUCUUAAGGUAAAAUUAUAAUAUACGAAAUAACUGAAGAUGGAGACAUGUAAAAUUAAUAUGAAAUAACCUUUGGCGUUGUUUCUACCAUAACUGUAUUCUUGCUAACUAAUGAACUUUAUGUGGCACUGAAAAAGGAUGUUAUGGUGAAUCAACGGCGAACUUAAGAGGUUUUUAUCAGACAAAUCUAACAUGAUUUUGCUCAUGACUUAUUGCCUUUAUUGUAAUCGCAUGUUUGUCUCAUCCAUUACUGAAGUUUUGAUAACGUGUUUGAUAUUAUGCAGAGAGAUAGCUGCUAUCCUCUAUUCCUCUAUCACUUUUUCUAUUAAGAGGCAUAUUAGAACAGGGAGGGAGGUCGAACAUGCGACUUCCCAUUUAUGUAUCUUCCUUCACGAUCUUAUGCUAUUGGAUCUAUGUGACUUAUAUCCAUUCCAUAUUUGGUGCGGCAUUGUUUCAAGUAUAAAAAUUCAUACAUUUAUCUUAGUAUCAUUUGAAUGAUAGAUUUGACGUGUGCUUAGCGGUACAUAU